rnacentral:rRNA from 1 species
GACGAACGCUGGCGGCGUGCUUAACACAUGCAAGUCGAACGGAAAGGCCCUGCUUUUGUGGGGUGCUCGAGUGGCGAACGGGUGAGUAACACGUGAGUAACCUGCCCUUGACUUUGGGAUAACUUCAGGAAACUGGGGCUAAUACCGGAUAGGAGCUCCUGCUGCAUGGUGGGGGUUGGAAAGUUUCGGCGGUUGGGGAUGGACUCGCGGCUUAUCAGCUUGUUGGUGGGGUAGUGGCUUACCAAGGCUUUGACGGGUAGCCGGCCUGGGAGGGUGACCGGCCUCAUGGGGACUGAGGUACGGCCCAGAGUCGUACGGGGGGCAGCAGUGGGGAACAUUGCACAAUGGGAGGAAGCCUGAUGCAGCAACGCCGCGUGCGGGAUGCCGGCCUUCGGGUUGUAAACCGCUUUCGCCUGUGACGAAGCGUGAGUGACGGUAAUGGGUAAAGAAGCACCGGCUAACUACGUG